rnacentral:rRNA from 1 species
AAAGUGGUAGCAAUACCAUGAGUAAAGUGGCGCACGGGUGAGUAACACGUGACUAACCUACCCUGGAGUGGGGGAUAACUGAGGGAAACCUUAGCUAAUACCGCAUAAUACCCACGGGUCAAAGGAGCAAUUCGCUCCAGGAGGGGGUCGCGGCCGAUUAGUUAGUUGGCGGGGUAAUGGCCCACCAAGACAAUGAUCGGUAUCCGGCCUGAGAGGGCGCACGGACACACUGGAACUGAAACACGGUCCAGACUCCUACGGGAGGCAGCAGUGGGGAAUUUUGCGCAAUGGGGGAAACCCUGACGCAGCAACGCCGCGUGGAGGAUGAAGUCCUUCGGGACGUAAACUCCUUUCGAUCGGGACGAUUAUGACGGUACCGGAAGAAGAAGCCCCGGCUAACUUCGUGCCAGCAGCCGCGGUAAUACGAGGGGGGCGAGCGUUGUUCGGAAUUAUUGGGCGUAAAGGGUGCGUAGGCGGUUUUGUAAGUCUUAUGUGAAAUCUAUGGGCUCAACUCAUAGACUGCAUGAGAAACUGCAGGGCUUGAGUGUGGGAGAGGUGAGUGGAAUUUCCGGUGUAGCGGUGAAAUGCGUAGAUAUCGGAAGGAACACCUGUGGCGAAAGCGGCUCACUGGACCACAACUGACGCUGAUGCACGAAAGCUAGGGGAGCAAACAGGAUUAGAUACCCUGGUAGUCCUAGCCCUAAACGAUGACUGCUUGGUGUGACGGGUACCCAAUCCCGCCGUGCCGUAGCUAACGCGUUAAGCAGUCCGCCUGGGGAGUACGGUCGCAAGGCUGAAACUC